CAGUCGCCGCGGUAAUACGAAGGUCCCGAGCGUUGUUCGGAAUCACUGGGCGUAAAGGGAGCGUAGGCGGCGUGGUAAGUCAGAUGUGAAAUCCCGGGGCUCAACCCCGGAACUGCAUCCGAUACUGCCGUGCUAGAGGAUUGGAGAGGUAGCUGGAAUUCUUGGUGUAGCAGUGAAAUGCGUGGAGAUCAAGAGGAACACUCGUGGCGAAAGCGAGCUACUGGACAAUAUCCGACGCUGAGGCUCGAAGGCCAGGGUAGCGAAAGGGAUUAGAUACCCCUGUAGUCCCUGUCUCUUAUAC
rnacentral:rRNA from 1 species